AGCGAACGCUGGCGGCAGGCCUAACACAUGCGAGUCGAACGAACUCUUCGGAGUUAGUGGCGGACGGGUGAGUAACACGUGGGAACGUGCCUUUUGGUUCGGAAUAACUCAGUGAAACUUGUGCUAAUACCGAAUGUGCCCUUCGGGGGAAAGAUUUAUCGCCAUUAGAGCGGCCCGCGUCUGAUUAGCUAGUUGGUGAGGUAACGGCUCACCAAGGCGACGAUCAGUAGCUGGUCUGAGAGGAUGACAAGCCACACUGGGACUGAGACACGGCCCAGACUCCUACGGGAGGCAGCAGUGGGGAAUCUUGCGCAAUGGGCGCAAGCCUGACGCAGCCAUGCCGCGUGAAUGAUGAAGGUCUUAGGAUUGUAAAAUUCUUUCACCGGGGACGAUAAUGACGGUACCCGGAGAAGAAGCCCCGGCUAACUUCGUG
rnacentral:rRNA from 1 species